UACGUAGGUGGCGAGCGUUGUCCGGAUUUACUGGGCGUAAAGGGCGUGCAGGCGGUUUGUUAAGUGCAGGGUGAAAGCUCCCGGCUCAACUGGGAGAGGUCCUUGCAUACUGGCGAACUCGAGGGAGGCAGAGGAAAGUGGAAUUCCCGGUGUAGUGGUGAUAUGCGUAGAUAUCGGGAGGAACACCUGUGGCGAAGGCGGCUUGCUGGGCCUUACCUGACGCUGAGGAGCGAAAGCGUGGGGAGCGAACAGG
rnacentral:rRNA from 1 species